rnacentral:tRNA from 1 species
UUCCUGGUGGUCUAGUGGUUAAGACUCUGUGUUUCUGCUGCAGGAAGCAAAGGUUCGAUCCCUAGUUAGGGAA